rnacentral:rRNA from 1 species
GAACGCUGGCGGCAGGCUUAACACAUGCAAGUCGAGCGGGGGAAGGUAGCUUGCUACCGGGCCUAGCGGCGGACGGGUGAGUAAUGCUUAGGAAUCUGCCUAUUAGUGGGGGGCAACAUCUCGAAAGGGAUGCUAAUACCGCAUACGUCCUACGGGAGAAAGCAGGGGAUCUUCGGACCUUGCGCUAAUAGAUGAGCCUAAGUCGGAUUAGCUAGUUGGUGGGGUAAAGGCCUACCAAGGCGACGAUCUGUAGCGGGUCUGAGAGGAUGAUCCGCCACACUGGGACUGAGACACGGCCCAGACUCCUACGGGAGGCAGCAGUGGGGAAUAUUGGACAAUGGGGGGAACCCUGAUCCAGCCAUGCCGCGUGUGUGAAGAAGGCCUUAUGGUUGUAAAGCACUUUAAGCGAGGAAGAGGCUACUUUAGUUAAUACCUAGAGAUAGUGGACGUUACUCGC